AACACUGUUAACCUGCGGUACCUGCGGAAGGAUCAUUACCGAGUGUGAACCCCCCCGUAAAAAAGAGGGGUUACCUCCCGUCCUUUGCUGGGAACCCCUUUCCAACUUGGAAGGAGGUUGUUUUCAGACCCUUCUGCUUCGGUGGGGUAACCCACCGGAACAACCUCAAAAAUAUUCUCAAUUCAAAACCGUUCAGUCCGAGAACUUUUUUGAAAAGCGAAAAAACUUUCAACAACGGAU
rnacentral:misc_RNA from 1 species